UACGAAGGGGGCUAGCGUUGUUCGGAAUCACUGGGCGUAAAGCGCACGUAGGCGGACUUUCAAGUCAGGGGUGAAAUCCCGGGGCUCAACCUCGGAACUGCCUCUGAUACUGUUGGUCUUGAGCCCGGAAGAGGUGGGUGGAAUUCCUAGUGUAGAGGUGAAAUUCGUAGAUAUUAGGAAGAACACCAGUGGCGAAGGCGGCCCACUGGUCCGGUGCUGACGCUGAGGUGCGAAAGCGUGGGGAGCAAACAGG
rnacentral:rRNA from 1 species